ensembl:lncRNA
UAGCCUACUGAUGUACCCCUGAUGGCUGACUAGGCUACUGAUGUACCCCUGUUAGCUGACUAGGCUACUGAUGUACCCCUGUUAGCUGACUAGGCUACUGAUGUACCCCUGUUAGCUGACUAGACUACUGAUGUACCCCUGUUAGCUGACUAGGCUACUGAUGUACCCCUGUUAGCUGACUAGCCUACUGAUGUACCCCUGUUGGCUGACUAGCCUACUGAUGUACCCCUGUUAGCUGACUAGGCUUCUGAUGUACCCCUGUUAGCUGACUAGGCUACUGUACUGUUUGCCAACACUGAAUAUCUAUGUACUGUCGCUUUCUUAUGUCAACACCCAUUUUCACAUGCAUUUUUGUCCUUCUCAGAAUGUUCUGUAUCUGACCCUGUACAGCAGUUUAUAUUUUUCAUACACGUCAAAAAUGUGACUUCACUUUGCACGUACGUACUUGGUAAGUACUGGUAAAGGACAAAACCUAUGAAGGUACUUCUUUACAUUUUUUAAAAUAAAUAUCUGUGAACAAA